rnacentral:rRNA from 1 species
AGCGAACGCUGGCGGCAGGCUUAACACAUGCAAGUCGAACGGGCAUCUUCGGAUGUCAGUGGCAGACGGGUGAGUAACACGUGGGAACGUACCCUUCGGUUCGGAAUAACUCAGGGAAACUUGAGCUAAUACCGGAUACGCCCUUUUGGGGAAAGGUUUACUGCCGAAGGAUCGGCCCGCGUCUGAUUAGCUUGUUGGUGGGGUAACGGCCUACCAAGGCGACGAUCAGUAGCUGGUCUGAGAGGAUGAUCAGCCACACUGGGACUGAGACACGGCCCAGACUCCUACGGGAGGCAGCAGUAGGGAAUAUUGGACAAUGGGCGCAAGCCUGAUCCAGCCAUGCCGCGUGAGUGAUGAAGGCCUUAGGGUUGUAAAGCUCUUUUGUCCGGGACGAUAAUGACGGUACCGGAAGAAUAAGCCCCGGCUAACUUCGUG